AACAGCUUCUAGCAGCACUACAAGCCCAGGGAGGCCACACACCUCAAAACGAUGAAGAAAAAAGCCGAGCAGGUUCUUUCAAACCCGAGGAGUAGGAGCUGGACCUGACUUUCGGCAGGAACUGUAAGAGCCCGAACGCGCCUGAGCCCUCCUCCUGAACGGCGUCUGUGGGCCCCUCCUGGCCCCCCCCCGAAGAUGUACUUUACGUGCAGUGAAUCUCUCCGGAGGCCGGCGAGUCUUCACGCCACUGCCGCACAAGGUCGCAAAAGCAGCCCCGGCCCCUCGCCUACAUUUUUGGCAGCCGAGGCCUGCAAACAGAGGCUGGUGGACGGCUGGGCUUUCAGUACUCGGACACCUCCAGGUAACCACACACAUAUUUCCCACACUGGUUUCUCCUAGACGUUUAAUACUUUGUUAUAGUUUCUAGGCAGAAAGUCAGAAAGGAAUUGCACUUCCAGGUGCUAGGAAGACGUCCGUGUUUCCUCUAUGUAUCAGGGAGGAAUGAGACCAUGAACCAAGGAAAGUAAGAAAAUGCAAGGACAUCAAUUUUUUCUUUAAGUUUCUGGAGAGGAAUGCAAUCUACUGAUAUCUGGAUCUAAGCCCAAGGAAAUCUCUUUUGCACUUCUGAUCUACAGCACUGUAAGAUAAUAAAUUUGUGCUUUAUUAAGUCACCAAGUUUAUGAUUAUUUGUUACAGCAGAAAUAGAACAUUUAGCAUCACCAUAACCAAGGAAGGUAAGACACAUGGUCCAUCAAUGCAGCUGAUACAUCAGUAUAAUUCAAGAAAACUUUUAGUUUCUAAGAAAUUUAAUCUUUUGUUAUUUAUAUCCUUUGAAAUUUACAUAGGAAUGGUAUGUUAGUCAGUACUACUAUAGUAACAAAUGAUCCCAAUAUCUCAGGUAGUUUUCAAUAGAAAGUUAUAUGUGCUGUUCAUCUUAAAUGUAGAAUGUUGGUGAGCUAUGGCUCUACACCAGGUUGCAGCUGUGUCUUCUUAUUCAUGAAAGCAGGGAAAAUGCAGGUCUGUGAAUGGGAAUGCCCAUCCCCCAUGGCCAAUAUGAAAAGCAAGAGAGCUGGCAGAAAAUUAAGAUGCUACUUUUAGUGCUUCUGCUCAAGUGUGGUAUUCAUAGAAUCAACUCAGAUUCAAUUGAUCAAUGCAUAUCAUGCAUCCUAGCCAAAGAUCAGUAAGGCAGGAAAUUACUUUCUUCCCACAGGAGAUAAGAAAGUCACAUGACAAUUGGCAGGGAAACACAUAAUAGGGGAAGAGUAGGUGAAAUAGCUAACAUAAUAAAAUCUACCUUGCACUGCUUUAUUGUAGCUUUGUGUGUUCUUCUUAUAAUAAAGAUGACAAAGGGAGAUAAAGUAUUUGGAUUUUUCGAUUAAAAAAUGAUUAUAUGCUAUGACCACACACACACAUACACACACAUGCACACACACUUUAAUUUUUGCAUAUAUACAUAUGUAUAUAUAUGUAUAUAUUUAUGUAUAUGUAUAUGUACAUAUAUAUACAUAUGUAUAUAUGUGUAUGUUUCUAAAUUUAUAUUUUCCUGUCCAUUGAUGUGUUGAACAUAGUCUUUUGUACUCUUUAUUUCCUCUAUUUUCCGGUUUUAGAAAACUGCUAUAUAGUUUUCUGGGUAUGGUAGAAAUCAGAUUAAAACUGCUCAAUAUGUCUCAGUUUACUAGGAUCCUUUAAGUCAAAUGUGAAUUUGCAUAGAAUUUAUCUAAAGACAAUGCAAAUGAAAGUUAGACAUACUCAAAGAUGUUAGGUAUGGAUUUGAUUAUAUAGUCUGACAGAAUAGCUAUCUCCUCUCAGAAGUACACAAAAUACUUUGAUGGGAAGCUUUUUUUUUUCAAGAUUUUGUUUUUUUAAGUAAUAUCUACACUCAACAUAGGGCUCAAACUUACAACCCCAAGAUCAAGAGUCACAUGCUGUACUGACAAAGCCAGCCAGGCACCCCACCUAGGAAGACUUUUAGUAUACCCAGAUGAAGCUAUAUUUAGAGGCAGAAGAUACCCAAUUGACAGUUUUGUUGGGUACUCAAUAUUUGAUUUUUCAUUUUCCCAACAUUUACAAUUUCGUAAAUGUAUAAUUGCACAAAAUAUGUGAUAGCUUGAUCACCAUUUGAUCCAAACAGACCAAAUGUUUGGUAGAGAUAUUAGGAACUGGUCAUGGUAUACUAAGUGAGGCUGGAAAAAUAAUUAUGAAUAAAAGAGAAUAAACAUUAAUUCCCUGAUUAAAGAACAUCAGUACACCUAUGAAGAGAUAUAAGUAACAAUUCACAUUUUUUGUAGAGGAAAUUCCCGUACUCCAUUGGAAAACAAAUAUUGGUAGUCACCUACCAGGGUAUUAAUGGUCUUAUGCUAUUAUUUACUGCCACUGUAGGAACAACAGUGCUCCCAAAGGAGCAAAAGGAGGAAAAUCAUCCAUUCUGAUCUUAUUGACAUUGUAAAUGAAUCUAAGGAUUUUAUGAUAUCCUUAUUUAUGGAAAGCUUUUAAUGGAGUAUUUCUGAUUAAAGAUUAUGGAAAGUAAAUAAAUCCAGAAUCUAUAGUUUUGUUUUGUUUUUAAUUUUUUUAGUUUUUUAUUUACUUUUGACAGA